rnacentral:rRNA from 1 species
UACGUAGGGGGCAAGCGUUGUCCGGAUUUAUUGGGCGUAAAGAGCGUGUAGGCGGCCAAGCAGGUCCGCUGUGAAAACUCGAGGCUCAACCUCGAGACGUCGGUGGAAAACGUUUGGCUAGAGUCCGGAAGAGGAGAGUGGAAUUCCCGGUGUAGCGGUGAAAUGCGCAGAUAUCGGGAAGAACACCCGUGGCGAAGGCGGCUCUCUGGGCCGAUACUGACGCUGAGGAGCGAAAGCGUGGGGAGCGAACAGG